GACGAACCGUCCUAACGUUGUUCGGAAUCACUGGGCGUAAAGGGCGCGUAGGUGGCGACCCAAGUCUGUGGUGAAAGCUCGCCGCUUAACGGCGAGUCGGCCACGGAUACUGGGUGGCUCGAGCACUGUAGGGGCAGAUGGAAUUCCGGGUGUAGCGGUGGAAUGCGUAGAGAUCCGGAAGAACACCGGUGGCGAAGGCGGUCUGCUGGGCAGUAGCUGACACUGAGGCGCGACAGCGUGGGGAGCAAACAGG
rnacentral:rRNA from 1 species